rnacentral:rRNA from 1 species
GUGCCUACGGGAGGCAGCAGUGAGGAAUAUUGGUCAAUGGGCGGGAGCCUGAACCAGCCAAGUCGCGUGAGGGACGACGGUCCUAUGGAUUGUAAACCUCUUUUGUCGGGGAACAAAGGCGCCCACGGGUGGGCGGAUGAGUGUACCCGAAGAAAAAGCAUCGGCUAACUCCGUGCCAGCAGCCGCGGUAAUACGGAGGAUGCGAGCGUUAUCCGGAUUUAUUGGGUUUAAAGGGUGCGUAGGCGGUUUUAUAAGUUAGAGGUGAAAAUUCGGGGCUCAACUCCGGACGUGCCUCUAAUACUGUA